UAAGGCUCCCAGUAGACGACUGGGUUGAUAGGCCGGAUAUGGAAGCACGGUAACGUGUGGAGUUGACCGGUACUAAUAGGCCGAGGGCUUGUCCUCAGUUG
rnacentral:rRNA from 1 species